CGAACGCUGGCGGCAUGCCUAACACAUGCACGUCGCCCGAGACCUUCGGGUCUAGUGGCGCACGGGUGCGUAACGCGUGGGAACCUGCCCUUAGGUUCGGAAUAACUCCCCGAAAGGGGUGCUAAUACCGGAUAAUGUCUUCGGACCAAAGAUUUAUCGCCUUUGGAUGGGCCCGCGUUGGAUUAGCUAGUUGGUAGGGUAAAAGCCUACCAAGGCGACGAUCCAUAGCUGGUCUGAGAGGAUGAUCAGCCACACUGGGACUGAGACACGGCCCAGACUCCUACGGGAGGCAGCAGUGGGGAAUAUUGGACAAUGGGCGAAAGCCUGAUCCAGCAAUGCCGCGUGAGUGAUGAAGGCCUUAGGGUUGUAAAGCUCUUUUACCCGGGAUGAUAAUGACAGUACCGGGAGAAUAAGCACCGGCUAACUCCGUG
rnacentral:rRNA from 1 species